rnacentral:rRNA from 1 species
UACGGGAGGCAGCAGUGGGGAAUAUUGCACAAUGGGCGAAAGCCUGAUGCAGCUAUGCCGCGUGUAUGAAGAAGGCCUUAGGGUUGUAAAGUACUUUCAUCGGGGAGGAAAAACAAAACUAAUAAUUUUAUUUCUUGACGUUACCCGAAAAAGAAGCACCGGCUAACUCCGUGCCAGCAGCCGCGGUAAUACGGAGGGUGCUAGCGUUAAUCAGAAUUACUGGGCGUAAAGAGCACGUAGGUGGUUUUUUUAAGUCAGAUGUGAAAUCCCCUGGGCUUAACCUGGAACUGCAUUUUGAAACUGAAAUACUAGAGUAUCGUAGAGGGAGGUAGAAUUCUAGGUGUAGCGGUGAAAUGCGUAGAUAUCUGGAGGAAUACCUGUGGCGAAAGCGGCCUCCUAAACGAAUACUGACACUGAGGUGCGAAAGCGUGGGGAGCAAACAGGGAUUAGAUACC